UACGAAGGGUGCAAGCGUUGCUCGGAAUUAUUGGGCGUAAAGGGGAGGUAGGUGGUCUCGUUUGUCUGGGGUGAAAACCCCGAGCUUAACUCGGGAAGUGCCUCAGAAACGGCGAGACUAGAGUGCUGGAGAGGGUAGCGGAAUUCCCGGUGUAGCGGUGAAAUGCGUAGAGAUCGGGAGGAACACCAGAGGCGAAGGCGGCUACCUGGACAGUUACUGACACUAAACUCCGAAAGCGUGGGUAGCAAACAGG
rnacentral:rRNA from 1 species